rnacentral:rRNA from 1 species
AUUGAACGCUGGCGGCAGGCCUAACACAUGCAAGUCGAACGAGUGGCGGACGGGUGAGUAAUGUCUGGGAAACUGCCUGAUGGAGGGGGAUAACUACUGGAAACGGUAGCUAAUACCGCAUACCAUCAGAUGUGCCCAGAUGGGCUUAGCUUGUUGGUGGGGUAACGGCUCACCAAGGCGACGAUCCCUAGCUGGUCUGAGAGGAUGACCAGCCACAUGGGAACGGAGACACGGUCCAGACUCCUACGGGAGGAAGCAGUGGGGAAUAUUGCACAAUGGGCGCAAUCCUGAUGCAGCAAUGCCGCGUGUAUGAAGAAGGUCUUCGGGUUGUAAAGUACUUUCAGCGGGGAGGCGGUACCCACAGAGGAAGCCCCGGCUAACUACGUGCCAGCAGCCGCGGUAAUUC